UCAAGGGAAUGGUCCAAGGGUGCAUCACUGGAAUAAGCUCGAGACCACAAGUGUCAUAUCUCCUCUAAUCUUUACUCUCUCAGUCUGGUGUCUAUCAGAAGCUACUCCUUUCUACUUAAAAG